UUAGCAUUCUGUCUUGAGAAAAAGUUGAUUUUUGCUUCACCACGUGAUGUUCUUGUAAUCUAUGUGAAGUGCCGCGAUUUUCAAUAGUUUUAUUAUAUAAAUAAAGUCUAGAACGCAUCGCACUACCAACAAACAUAACUAACAUAAUAUAUUUAAACCAACAAAGACCUGACCUGACGCUGAUAUCCUAUAACAUGCACGCCUGGACACAAUCUGAGAGACACAAUCAAGUGUACAUUCAGAUAUUUACCGCAAGAAAAAAGGAUGGCACACCUUAUCGGAGGUGAGUCCACGUUUGCGUUCAAACCACGGAAGGGAAUUAGGGUCGUUCGUCAGGUAACUGCCCCGUCGACUCCAAUCGUACGACUUAAGCUAUACUCGGUGUCAUCAUCCUGGGCAGUGUUCCAUAACCAGAGAAAAUGUCUGGGGGCAGUCCCGAGGCAGUCAGUUUAUAUACGAUGAACUGGAAAAAGUAUCCUCAAAAUGUUUAGUGUUCAACGAUUCUUCUGACUGUUCAUCGCUGCCACCGAAAAGCACAUCUUUGGCAACGCUCUCGGCGGAAAGUUUGGAAGCUACCAUUUUAA